AGAGUUUGAUCAUGGCUCAGGACGAACGCUGGCGGCGUGCUUAACACAUGCAAGUGGAGCGACGAACCGGGGCUUGCCCCGGGGCAGAGCCGCGAACGGGUGAGUAACACGUGGGUUACCUACCCCGAUGACCGGGACAACCCGAGGAAACUCGGGGCUAAUACCGGAUGUGGUCUUCGGACGAAAGGAAGCUUCGGCCUCCGCAUCGGGAUGGGCCCGCGGCGCAUUAGCUUGUUGGUGGGGUAACGGCCUACCAAGGCGACGAUGCGUAGCUGGUCUGAGAGGACGAUCAGCCACACUGGGACUGAGACACGGCCCAGACUCCUACGGGAGGCAGCAGUGGGGAAUCUUGCGCAAUGCGCGAAAGCGUGACGCAGCAACGCCGCGUGGGGGAAGAAGGCCUUCGGGUUGUAAACCUCUUUCAGUUGGGACGAAGCCUUGCGGGUUAAUAGCCCGUGGAGGUGACGGUACCUUCAGAAGAAGCCCCGGCUAACUACGUGCCAGCAGCCGCGGUAAUACGUAGGGGGCAAGCGUUGUCCGGAAUCAUUGGGCGUAAAGAGCGUGUAGGCGGCCCGAUAAGUCCGCUGUGAAAGUCCAGGGCUCAACCCUGGAAUGCCGGUGGAUACUGUCGGGCUCGAAUCCGGAAGAGGUGAGUGGAAUUCCUGGUGUAGCGGUGAAAUGCGCAGAUAUCAGGAGGAACACCAAUGGCGAAGGCAGCUCACUGGGACGGUAUUGACGCUGAGACGCGAAAGCGUGGGGAGCAAACAGGAUUAGAUACCCUAGUAGUCC
rnacentral:rRNA from 1 species